UACAGAGGUCCCAAGCGUUGUUCGGAUUCAUUGGGCGUAAAGGGUGCGUAGGCGGCGCGGUAAGUCGGGUGUGAAAUCUCGGAGCUUAACUCCGAAACUGCAUUCGAUACUGCCGUGCUGGAGGACUGGAGAGGAGACUGGAAUUUACGGUGUAGCGGUGAAAUGCGCAGAUAUCAGGAGGAACACCGGUGGCGAAGGCGGGUCUCUGGGCCUGUCCUGACGCUGAGGCGCGAAAGCUAGGGGAGCGAACAGG
rnacentral:rRNA from 1 species